ACUUUUCCUCUCAUUUCCCUUUCCCCAAGACCCAUAAUUUUUUUCCUCCCUUUUCUCUGGGGUUUCUUGCUAUUUGACAGCAAAGCAAAUGAGCUAUGCCCAGUGAAGAAUGAACACACAACUCUGGUACCUGGCUUUGCUCACUGCCUGUUUAAUUGUGUGUGACUUCCUGAGUAAUUGGAGAAGAUGCUGGGUGUGAAGUGAGGAAUGUGCAGAUCCUCUAGCUUUCUUGAUGACCUCCAUCCGGCUUUGAAGAUGUUUGGAUUCAGAGAUACCAUGAAGAUGCCUGCUUCUCCUUCGCCUUCUGCCAUGAUUCUAAGUUUCCUGAGGCCUGCUAGCCAUGCUUCCUGUCAAGCCUGCAGAACUGUGAGUCAAGUAAACCCCUUUCCAUUAAAAAUACUCAGUCUGAGAUAGUAUUCUUUAUAACAGUGUGAGAACAGACUAAUACAGCAACACACUGAAAAGUCUGAAGACACUAGCUUAGGAGAGAAACAGAUAAAGAAACCCUCUCAAGCUUAAUGUGUCUAUGACUCAGCCACGAAUCUUGUUAGGAUGGUUUCUAAUUCAAUUCCUGUGUGCUGGGGACUGAGAUUUUGUUUCUGAUAAACUCCCAGGUGCUGAUGUUGCUGCUGAUCCACCCAAGAAGAAAAAGUGCUAGAUGGAGAGACUAUUUCCAGAGGAAGAACCUGAGGAAGUCCCUGAAGUCAUUCGUUUGUGACUUCAAGUGCCUCCAAGGAAUAAAAGAAAACAUGCUUCUCCCUUCUUUCUCUCGUUUUUGCUUUUGGUUGAUGGAUAGAAAUCCUAACUUACCCAUUCUUCACUAAGGAUUGUUGCUGUCCGGCUUCCAGGUGCUGAAUGUUAAAACCAAGGGACCAGAUCUGCUUCAGACCAGUUACUGUGAAAAGCUCCACUGUUUAAUCUGAGGGUUGGUUCCCAGUUUUCCAUCGUGUUUUAAACAUUGGUGCCUUUCCAUACAAUGUCCCCUGCAAUUAACAGCAGAGUCCUUCCUAUAAAGAAGGUUUUUAAAAACAGAAGCAAGAAGAGUUUUAUUUAGUCUACCUUCUACCGGCUACCACAUUACAUCAGGGUUUCACUUGCAUUCAGAUAGCUGCCUUGACUUCCUAAUGGUUUUCUCUGCCUAAAGUUCCUUUUUUGUCUCCCUCUACCCGCCCCCUCUUCCCCUCUUAAACCAUCCUGUACAGGGAUAUAUUGAUCAAG
rnacentral:lncRNA from 1 species